AACGAACGCUGGCGGCAUGCCUAACACAUGCAAGUCGAACGAGACCUUCGGGUCUAGUGGCGCACGGGUGCGUAACGCGUGGGAACCUGCCCUUAGGUUCGGAAUAACUCCCCGAAAGGGGUGCUAAUACCGGAUAAUGUCUUCGGACCAAAGAUUUAUCGCCUUUGGAUGGGCCCGCGUUGGAUUAGCUAGUUGGUAGGGUAAAAGCCUACCAAGGCGACGAUCCAUAGCUGGUCUGAGAGGAUGAUCAGCCACACUGGGACUGAGACACGGCCCAGACUCCUACGGGAGGCAGCAGUGAGGAAUAUUGGACAAUGGGCGAAAGCCUGAUCCAGCAAGGCCGCGUGAGUGAUGAAGGCCUUAGGGUUGUAAAGCUCUUUUACCCGGGAUGAUAAUGACAGUACCGGGAGAAUAAGCUCCGGCUAACUCCGU
rnacentral:rRNA from 1 species